AAUAAGUGCAGUUUUGUACUAUCCACAUUCAACGUUUGACCGUUCGUCUUAUUUGAAAGUUUUUAUGAUUAUUAUUUUUAUUGCUAUUAGAUGAUAAAACGUGAAUAGUACUCUAUAUGUGACUAAAUACUUUUAAAAUUUUUUCAAAUAAGACGGACGAUCAAACGUUGGGCACGGAUAUCCACGGCUGCACUUAUU
rfam:Oryza glumipatula chromosome 6, whole genome shotgun sequence.